UACGUAGGGGGCAAGCGUUGUCCGGAUUUAUUGGGCGUAAAGAGCGUGUAGGCGGCCAGGUAGGUCUGCUGUGAAAACUCGAGGCUCAACCUCGAGCUGUCGGCGGAAACCAUCUGGCUAGAGUCCGGAAGAGGAGAAUGGAAUUCCCGGUGUAGCGGUGAAAUGCGCAGAUAUCGGGAAGAACACCCGUGGCGAAGGCGGUUCUCUGGGACGUGACUGACGCUGAGACGCGAAAGCGUGGGGAGCGAACAGG
rnacentral:rRNA from 1 species